rnacentral:ncRNA from 1 species
CGAAUGAAAAGGCAAAGCUGAUGAAAGUCAGUGACGCAAAGUCAUGGGUCUAAAACACAUUUGUUAUGAUCGCCAGGCUACCAAC